CACCAACUCUCCAAGAGAGAACAAACAACAUGGCUGACAAAUGCAUGACAAGUGUAGAAAUGAUGCCUACUUUGCCAAAAAAGAAAACAUUUAGAGGAAGGCUCCGAAAAUUUUUUGGGUUCAAAUAGAAGAGCAUGGUAGCCCGUGUAUGGAACCUUGUGAAAAAAGUUACUAUUUCAGGAAGAAAGAUAUUCACUUGUGAUACCUAACUUGGACAUCAACUAACAUUCUUCAUGAUUGAACACCUCUACAAUAAAUUUUAAUUUUUCAAUCA